rnacentral:rRNA from 1 species
GACGAACGCUGGCGGCGCGCUUAACACAUGCAAGUCGAACGGAAAGGCCCUGCUUUUGUGGGGUGCUCGAGUGGCGAACGGGUGAGUAACACGUGAGUAACCUGCCCUUGACUUUGGGAUAACUUCAGGAAACUGGGGCUAAUACCGUAUAGGAGCUCCUGCUGCAUGGUGGGGGUUGGAAAGUUUCGGCGGUUGGGGAUGGACGCGCGGCUUAUCAGCUUGUUGGUGGGGUAGUGGCUUACCAAGGCUUUGACGGGUAGCCGGCCUGAGAGGGUGACCGGCCACAUUGGGACUGAGAUACGGCCCAGACUCCUACGGGAGGCAGCAGUGGCGAAUAUUGCACAAUGGGCGGAAGUCUGAUGCAGCAACGCCGCGUGCGGGAUGACGGCCUUCGGGUUGUAAACCGCUUUCGCCUGUGACGAAGCGUGAGUGACGGUAAUGGGUAAAGAAGCACCGGCUAACUACGUG